GCUUUUCUCUCUCUUUCUCUCUCUCUAGGUUUUCCAAUUGAAGAUGGAAAACUAGUGUGUUAAGCUUGAUUCUCCCUCUUCUCUUGAUGUUGACUGAAGUGAAAGGCUUUGAACUUGAGUUUUGUUAUUGGAGAAGGAGAUUUUGGGAGGUAUUUCGUGACUUUAGCUCAGCAAGAAACUGAGUUGAGAUUUGGUAAGGUUUUGGAAGGAUUAAAUAGCCAUGGAAGAGGUAUUUCUCUGGUCUAACUCAGCUAGGAACUGAGCUGAAGCUUAGUGAGCUGGUUUGGAAGACUUUAUAGCAGCAAUAAGGGUGUUGUUUCAUUGUGUUUCUUCAAUCCUAACUCAAUAGAAAGCUGAGUUACAGCUCGUGAAGUUUUAAUGCAGUCCACAGCAGGUUCGCAGCAGGGGAAUUGGGCCCCUUUUGAGAUGAGUUUAGUGACUGUUAUGGACUGACUAUGAUGUGUUUCAACCUAAGUUGAAGCCAUGCAAGAUUCACAGCAGAUUGUUGAACCCCAUUAGCUGAAAUUUGUGAUGCCUUAGAAGGAGAAAUUUGAGACUUUUUAACCUGAAUUGAAGUGGAAUUAAAGCUGGAUGUUAUUCUAGGGUACUCGGAGGCUUCGAAUUACCUUCAUUGGUAGAAUUGAUGAGGCGUCGACUAUUUGGUCGGUCGGACCUUCCCGAAAUGGGUGAAUUCCCCCUAUGUCUCCUUUGACAUUAUGAAUUGAAGUUAUUACUUAUUUAUGAAUAUAUGUAUAGUGCGAGGAGUUGAAACAUGCGUGAAUGUGUAGAUCAUAUCGGAUAUGAUAGCAUAUCUAAACAAUAAGGAAAGACUUAUAACUUGCUUAUUUCAAUAAUCACUUGUUUGAUUAUUAUGCAUUCAUGGUAUUAAUGAUUUGUAUAAGCAAGUUAAGCUUGAGGUUAUUUAAAAAGAUAUAACUAUUACAGCGUGAAUAUACCAUUUAGCUCAGCUGAACAGCAAAGGAAGUGACGUACUUGGGAUUACGCUAAGUAAUGUUAUAUUGUAAGCAUGAUGGCUAUACUUGAAUCUGUCGUGCAGAUGAAUUGGCUUGAGUAUACAUUCAUAGUAUAGAAUGAACUGUAUAGAGAUUAUGUGAAAAGUAUUUCAUCGAUUAUUUUGCCUACUUAUAUUAAGUAGUUGGUUUCUACCUUCACCUGAUAAGAUUGGCUAGAGCUUCACUUGAUAUUAUAUGAACUAGUCAGGUAACUAGAAUUUAGUAUUGUGACGUAACAUGAAUGUUAUACAAUUGGAUAUAAUCUAGUUGAAUCAAUAACUAGAUUUGGAUAUGAUAUCAUACUUGUAUAAACAAGUAGAUGUAAUUGCAUAGCAUUUGUUUAUUCCAAGUGGUGGAGGUUUACAUUGAACUACAGAAUAUGUGCCCUGAGUCUUUGAGUAUAACUUUAGUAAACCACUUUCCUUAUGUGUAAGGAAUAGUGCGAGAACAAUGAGUGAGUGACCAGGUGUAGCCUGAUAGAAUCACUAGUACGAUGUAAAGCUUAAAUUUAUUAAGUUAUAUUAACUAUUGAUAGUGCAUUAUGUCAACAAGUAAUUGAGAGCAAUUUAUGAUUUGGCACUACACUGUCGACCUUGGGUCGAGAUGAGAUUCCAUGAUGUCGUUGUGAUAUUGUACCAUGGAUUACAGUUUGCAUACUAGACAGCCUUCGGGUGGGUCUUUAUACUAGACAGCCUUCGGGUGGGUCUUCAUACAAGACAGCCUUUGGGUGGAUCUUACAAGAUUUAAACUUUGAGUAGUUAAACGACAAGUGAACAAUGGCAUCUUUACCAUUUACAUUGUGGACAAUGUGUCGGUUGAAUAUUUAUUGAUGAACAAGCUAGAAGGCUGACAUUUUGAUUAGUUAGUAACAUAAUGGCUGUAUGUCUCAUUAUUGCUAAUAUAGAAGGUAAUUACAUUUCUAUUAAUAUGAAUGAUAGAGUCUAUCAUAAUAAACUAGUACCUGCAACCUGUUGAUAUUUAUUUCUGAGCAAGUAGCAUGAUAGGUUUAUUUUUAUAUCUGUUGUAGU